rnacentral:rRNA from 1 species
GAUGAACGCUGGCGGCGUGCCUAAUACAUGCAAGUCGAGCGAACAGACGAGGAGCUUGCUCCUCUGACGUUAGCGGCGGACGGGUGAGUAACACGUGGAUAACCUACCUAUAAGACUGGGAUAACUUCGGGAAACCGGAGCUAAUACCGGAUAAUAUAUUGAACCGCAUGGUUCAAUAGUGAAAGACGGUUUUGCUGUCACUUAUAGAUGGAUCCGCGCCGCAUUAGCUAGUUGGUAAGGUAACGGCUUACCAAGGCAACGAUGCGUAGCCGACCUGAGAGGGUGAUCGGCCACACUGGAACUGAGACACGGUCCAGACUCCUACGGGAGGCAGCAGUAGGGAAUCUUCCGCAAUGGGCGAAAGCAUGACGGAGCAACGCCGCGUGAGUGAUGAAGGUCUUCGGAUCGUAAGACUCUGUUAUUAGGGAAGAACAAAUGUGUAAGUAACUAUGCACGUCUUGACGGUACCUAAUCAGAAAGCCACGGCUAACUACGUG